rnacentral:lncRNA from 1 species
AGUGGAUUUCUCGACCUGUGAAAUGAAAAAAUAGCCUCUGGAGUUUUUUUUGUUUUAUAUUCAUCUGAAGGAAAUAUGAGAACGAAAACAAUAACAAUAAAUAAAAGAAAUAAAAUGAAGGAAAUAUAUCAGACUAUAGUAAUUUAAUACACAUAGAAAUUAGAAAAAUACAUAAAAAUAUUGAUUUUUAUCAAUUUCACGAACAAGAUCCAAGAAUAAGAUUAGUUGAUGGAGGGGGAGGGGUAGAUCUGGAGAUCAACCAGUAGCGAGAGAAGGGAUCACUUCUUC